GCUGUGAGUUGCAUCUGCCUGUAUUUAGGCCACUUUGGCUGUACUGCUGAAGGUAAUACAUUCUCUUUUGCAGUGGCCCUUUAUCUGUCCUUGCUGAACGUGCUCAUGCAUGUGGUGCCCUUUGAGGAGAAAAUCCCAUCUCGAGCUCUGUGCUCCUGCCACUCAUAUCAGUGCUGAAGUCUUUUUGUUUAGGUGACCGAUAGGAGAUCAUGAAGCCAUGGCUCACACGUGUAUUUUGUAGCAGUGUGCAGCUAACCAUGCUUCCCCCAGGCACUUAAGAUGAAGAGCUGCUCUUUUCUUUGGCUAUUUUGCACAUUCUCUUUGUCUCACAAGUAAGAGAAAAUUUUCUUUUAAAUCUUCAUUUUUAUUAAUAAGGCUUUUUCUUUACCAAUGACACUGAGGGAAACUAUUCUGAGUGGUUUUAAAUUAUAGGAAAUUAACAUUCAUCUGAAACCCUUGAAGUUCUUCAAACGGUUUCAUUUGGAGGUUGUCUGAACAGAUGCACUCCUGGGAUGCUCAUGUACUAAAGUUUGUGGAUGCAUCUCAGCUGAUCAAUUUACAUAAUGAUGUUGGUGGAAUAUCACUGUGUGUGGGAACUGCUGAGUCCCGGCCUGCACCACUGAUGGAGCACCUGGGAAAGGACCCGGUCAGCCCUGGGAGCACAGCUGGAGGCAAUUCAGCUGUGGGACUGGAAGGGGUGCAGCCUGGGUGCACCUCUCAUAGACCUCAUUUAAGGGCUGACUGCCCCUCGGGAAGGGUUUCUUCCUGGAGGUCCCUCCUUGGUGAGGCUUUCCCUGCAAACCUGCAAUCUUCUGACACGUAAGCCUUGGAAUGCUGCCUGUGCAGGGGAAGCACCUCGAUGAAUUGCCUGGGUGGUUUGAUGUGCUGCUCCCUAAUAGCACCAGUAAAAGGGGAAAGGUUUCAUGUGAUCCAGUUCUGUAGGACCCCAGUAGCACCAGGAGAGUGGGACGUGUGUCAUCCCUGCUGCAAUAAAAGAGCCAUUUGCUGAUGAGCAGCUCAUAGCAUCCGGCUGUCCUCAGCUGCCGCUUUGCUGUGUGCGGGGGAGCAGAGCAAGGUUUGUGUAAGCGGGGUGAUGAGUUACGGGAGAUGAAGGGGAUGGGAGACGUGGGAUUUCUACAACGCUACAGAAGCAGUGGAAAGGGGAGAUGGGCCGUUUUGAUCGUCACGCGGGCUGAGGAGAGGAGCAGCGCUGACAGCUCCGCAGAGCUCCCGCAAAGGGCGCAGAUGUUCCGGCGCGGCUCGAGGCGGCUGCGGGCGGGAAAUUUGAAAGCCGCGGCUGAUGUGGGAAACGCGAGGUGACCUCCAACGGCCGCGAGCGACCGUGAGGGAGCGCUGCAGG
ensembl:lncRNA